UAAGAUGCCACCAUCAUUUGUAUCAUUUGCAUGACAUCUAACAUCUUUGCAUUACUAACCUAUUGAAAAUACAAAAAGAUUUUCUACUUUGUUUGUCUUAAGUUGGGGUUUUAUACCAAGAGCUUUCAAAUAUUGAUCAAUCAAGACUUGACAUGAGUUUCAAAAUUUCAAACUCCUCAUAUUUCCCAAGUGAUCAAGUGACUUCAAUCAACAAGAAUCAAUUUCAAGAUCAUUCCAUCUCAAA
rnacentral:lncRNA from 1 species